UCGUGCUAGACGGGGAACUAGCGGUGCCCUCGACCCGCAAUCCGCUAUAGCGGGGUCGAAUUCCUGCCCGCGGUCUGGCUGUUUGGGAAUGUGCUUCGACAAGCGACGUUGAUAGUUGGGCCCUACGCAAUGCCCGGCGCGUGAACCCCGUGAGGUCCGGAAGGAAGCAGCGGUAAGCGUGUUCGCGCAUGUGCCGUAUGGUGAUCUGAUUGGAGUUGGCUGUCGCGGUGGCGCCUGGGCGGGCUUAUCAGAGGCAGGUGCACGA
rnacentral:SRP_RNA from 1 species